UAGGGAAUCUUCCGCAAUGGGCGAAAGCUUGACGGAGCAACGCCGCGUGAGUGAUGAAGGUCUUCGGAUCGUAAAACUCUGUUAUUAGGGAAGAACAAAUGUGUAAGUAACUAUGCACGUCUUGACGGUACCUAAUCAGAAAGCCACGGCUAACUACGUGCCAGCAGCCGCGGUAAUACGUAGGUGGCAAGCGUUAUCCGGAAUUAUUGGGCGUAAAGCGCGCGUAGGCGGUUUUUUAAGUCUGAUGUGAAAGCCCACGGCUCAACCGUGGAGGGUCAUUGGAAACUGGAAAACUUGAGUGCAGAAGAGGAAAGUGGAAUUCCAUGUGUAGCGGUGAAAUGCGCAGAGAUAUGGAGGAACACCAGUGGCGAGGGCGAGUUUCUGGUCUGUAACUGACGCUGAUGUGCGAAAGCGUGGGGAUCAAACAGG
rnacentral:rRNA from 1 species